ACGGCGCCACGCACAGUUUGCGAGGGUUUCGAGAAGUUUUAAUUUUUCUACCACUAGUGUCGGAGACGGAGAAGGCAAUGGCACCCCACUCCAGUACUCGUGCCUGGAAAAUCCCAUGGACGGAGGAGCCUGACAUAAAGUUCUGAAAUUCUCCAAGCCAGGCUUCAGCAAUAUGUGAACUGUGAACUUCCAGAUGUUCAAGCUGGUUUUAGAAAAGGCAGAGGAACCAGAGAUCGAAUUGUCAACAUCUGCUGGAUCAUCGAAACAGCAAGAGAGGUCCAGAAAAAUAUCUAUUUCUGCUUUAUUGACUAUGCCAAAGCCUUUGACUGUGUGGAUCACAAUAAACUGUGGAAAAUUCUGAAAGAGAUGGGAAUACCAGACCACCUGACCUGCCUCUUGAGAAACCUAUAUGUAGGUCAGGAAGCAACAGUUAGAACUGGACAUGGAACAACAGACUGGUUUCAAAUAGGAAAAGGGGUGAGUCAAGGCUGUCUAUUGUCACCCUGCUUAUUUAGCUUCUAUGCAGAGUACAUCAUGAGAAACGCUGGGCUGGAGGAAGCACAGGCUGGAAUCAAGAUUGCCAUGAGAAAUAUCAAUAACCUCACAUAUGCAGAUAACACUACCAGUUAUGGCAGAAAGCAAAAAAGAACUAAAGAGCGUCUUGAUGAAAGUGAAAGAGGAGAGGGAAAAGGUGGCUUAAAACUCAACAUUCAGAAAACUAAGAUCAUGGCAUCCCAUUCCAUCACUUCAUGGUAAAUAGAUGGGGAAACAGUGGAAACAGUGGCUGACUUUACUUUUGGGGGCUCCAAAAUCACUGCAGAUGGUGAUUGCAGCCAUGAAAUUAAAAGACGCUUACUCCUUGGAAGGAAAGUUAUAACCAACCUAGACAGCAUAUUCAAAAGUAGAGACAUUACUUUGCCAACAAAGGUCCGUCUAGUCAAGGCUAUGGUUUUUCCAGUGGUCAUGUAUGAAUGUGAAAGUUGGACUAUAAAGAAAGCUGAGUGCUGAAGAGUUGAUGCUUUUACUGUGGUGCUGUAGAAGACUCUUGAGAGUCCCUUGGACUGCAAAGAGAUCCAACCAGUCCAUCCUAAAGGAGAUCAGUCCUGGGUGUUCAUUGGAAGAACUGAUGUUGAGGCUGAAAUUCCAAUACUUUGGCCACCUGAUGCAAAGAGCUGACUCAUUUGAAAAGACCCUGAUGCUGGGAAACAUUGCAGGCAGAAGAAGGGGACGACAGAGGAUGAGAUGGUUGGAUGGCAUCACCAACUCAACGGACAUGGGUUUGGGUGGACUCUGGGAGUUGGCCUGGCGUGCUGAGGUUCAUGGGGUCACAGAAUCGGACACGACUGAGCGACUGAACUGGAAUGUUCUCAAGGUUCAUAUGGACAUAUGUUGCACCAUAUGUCAAAAUUUCCUUCUUUUUAACACUGAAUAAUGUCCCAUUGUUUGUAUAUAUCAAAUUUUGCUUAUCCAUUUUUCUGUUGUCAGACACUUGAGUUGCUUCCAGGUUUUAUGGUAUACAGCUAUCUUUCUAGACCCUGUUUUCAAUUAUUUUGGUUACAUAGUCAGAAGUGGAAUUGCUGGAUAUUAGUAAUUCCAUUUUUAAUUUUUUAGGAAGUCCACACUAUUUUUCCAGCGGCUGCACCAAUUUACAUUCCCACCAACUGUGCCCAGGUGUUUGAAUUUCUCCACACCUUCAUGGUUUGUUGUCUUGGUUUUUGUUUUGCUUUAAUAGCAGCCAUCCUAAUGGUGUGUGAGAUUCUUUGUUUCAUUUCGACUACUUCUUGAAAUUCUAUUGUUAAAUAUUUUUAUUCAUUUGGGGUUAACCAGCAUUCUCUUUUAAAAGGCAAAUAUACUUAACAGCUAUCUCUCUUAUCUCCUCUGGUCAGACUGAUUCUCAGUGACUUGCUGGUAGUAACUGGACUUAAUUACCUAUACUUCUCAAAUCACACACCCAGAGCCCUGAUGUGACUGGUUUUUCUUAAGGGAUCAAUACUUAGAGUACCAUGACUUGCCUGCAUUUCAAGUACAAUAAGGAUUCACCCCAUUAUCCAGUGUUAGAAAUUAAUGUUGAAAAAAAAUAAGACAGAUGGAGCACUGCCUGUUUGUGAAAAUUAUUUGAUUAAUUUAUUUAAAAAUAUUUAUUGAGUAAUACAUGGUGCAGUGAUGUCAAGCUCUUAUAUUUUUUAGAAUUUCAAG
ensembl:lncRNA